rnacentral:sRNA from 1 species
AAGGCUUUGUUGAAAGCAAUUGAAAGAGGUAUUUACUGGGUGGGGUCUCAGAUCUUGUUGCAUUUAUAUAGUGUCAGCUGUUCUGCCGAUAGUCACUUAAUGAAAGCUUAAAAAUAAAAACAUCUGGAAAGUGCCAACUGAUGCUGACUGCAUGAGCUUGGCUUUCUGAAUGGGCUCAAAUAAUUUUAAUAAACGAUGUUAACUCAACCAGGGCCUUAAAGAACUCAGAUUCUAUAUCUGGUCUAGCCCGGCUCUACAGGAGCGGAGAGAAUAAGCCUAUGAAUUUAACAAAGGACUUAAUAUCCCAGGAGGAGGGAAGCUCAAGGCGUAUUAAAGUGACCACAGUUCAGGCAGUCCUGAAGUAGAUGUAACUUCUGGCAUCCUGGUGCAUGUGCUGGAGACAUAAACCUGUGGGACCCAAGAGCCUCAACAGUAUGCCUACUGAGAAAUUAUACAUCACAACCCAUGGAGCUGGGGAGCUAGCUCAGUAGAUGAAGUGCUUGCUGCCCCAGCUUGAAGACCUGAGUUUGAGUCUCAGAACUCAUAUGAAAAUGGCAGAGUGCUACUGUGUGUUGUAAUGCGGUUCUCUGGGAGAGGAGAAGGUGGAUCCCUGGAGCUCACAGGUCAGUCAGAAGAGCCGAGUUAGUCCACUCUAGGCUAAGGAAAGACACUGUCUCAAAAAACAAGGUGGAUGAUUCCUGAGUAGCAACCCUGGGGUUGACCUUUGAUCUCCACGUUGAUGAACAUGUGUAUGCACAUCCCCCAACGCAACCGCAACAGAAUGGAACUGAUGUUUGCUUUUGAUAACUUUUAGGGGCACAAUGAUGGAGGAUGGUGCUAAAGCCGCACUUGCGUGGGUUCCAGGACGCCAUAGCUUUGCACCUUUCUCUUCAGGAGGGUGAUGUACACUGUGUCUCUAAAUAUCUUGAUGGCUGAACACAGAGCAAAGACUGUAAAGCCUCUGGCAGAAGCGGCUUGGAGAGCUACUGCCAAGCCAUCAGGCCAGCAGAUGAUGCUGACUUCUUGUGACAUGAGAGUUGAAUCAGAUUUUACUUCACAGCAGUUACUUUCAUGUCUGGAGAAAAGAAGAAAAAAAAUCCUCUCAGAUGACCAAAUCCA